GACGAACGCUGGCGGCGUGCCUAAUACAUGCAAGUAGAACGCAGUUGCGAACGGGUGAGUAACGCGUAGGUACCUGCCUCAUAGCGGGGGAUAACUAUUGGAAACGAUAGCUAAUACCCCAUCCUGUGAGCUGGACCUGCGUUGUAUUAGCUAGUUGGUGAGGGAAAGGCUCACCAAGGCGACGAUACAUAGCCGACCUGAGAGGGUGAUCGGCCACACUGGGACUGAGGAACGGCCCCGACGCCUAAGGGAGGCAGCCGUAGGGAAUCUUUGGCAAAGGACGGAAGUCUGACCGAGCAACGCCGCGUGAGUGAAGAAGGGUUUCGGGUUGUAAAGCUCUGUUGUUAGAGAAGCGGUAACUAAACAGAAAGGGACGGCUAACUACGUGCCAGCAGCCGCGGUAAUAC
rnacentral:rRNA from 1 species